rnacentral:rRNA from 1 species
GACGAACGCUGGCGGCGUGCUUAACACAUGCAAGUCGAACGGAAAGGCCCUGCUUUUGUGGGGUGCUCGAGUGGCGAACGGGUGAGUAACACGUGAGUAACCUGCCCUUGACUUUGGGAUAACUUCAGGAAACUGGGGCUAAUACAGGAUAGGAGCUCCUGCUGCAUGGUGGGGGUUGGAAAGUUUCGGCGGUUGGGGAUGGACUGGCGGCUUAUCAGCUUGUUGGUGGGGUAGUGGCUUACCAAGGCUUUGACGGGUAGCCGGCCUGAGAGGGUGACCGGCGACAUUGGGACUGAGAUACGGCCCAGACGCCUACGGGAGGCAGCAGUGGGGAGUAUGGCACAAUGGGCGGAAGCCUGAUGCAGCAACGCCGCGUGCGGGAUGACGUCCUUCGAGUUGUAAACCGCUUUCGCCUGUGACGAAGCGUGAGUGACGGUAAUGGGUAAAGAAGCACCGGCUAACUACGUG